GUAGGGAAUAUUGAACAAUGGGGGCAACCCUGAUCCAGCGACGCCGCGUGAGUGAUGAAGGCCUUCGGGUCGUAAAGCUCUGUUGCAGGGGAAGAACACAAUGACGGUACCCUGCUAGAAAGGAUCGGCUAACUUCGUGCCAGCAGCCGCGGUAAGACGAGGGAUCCUAGCGUUGUUCGGAAUUAUUGGGCGUAAAGCGGGUGCAGGUGGCUUGGUAAGUCAGAUGUGAAAGCCUGGGGCUUAACCCCAGAAGUGCAUUUGAUACUGCUGAGCUUGAGUGCUGGAGAGGCUAUUAGAAUUCCUGGUGUAGUGGUGAAAUACGUAGAUAUCAGGAGGAAUACCGGAGGCGAAGGCGGAUAGCUGGCCAGACACUGACACUCAGACCCGAAAGCGUGGGGAUCAAACAGGAUUAGAAACCCCUGUAGUCC
rnacentral:rRNA from 1 species